rnacentral:rRNA from 1 species
AACGAACGCUGGCGGCAUGCCUAACACAUGCAAGUCGAACGAGACCUUCGGGUCUAGGGGCGCACGGGUGCGUAACGCGUGGGAACCUGCCCUUAGGUUAGGAAUAACUCCCCGAAAGGGGUGCUAAUACCGGAUAAUGUCUUCGGACCAAAGAUUUAUCGCCUUUGGAUGGGCCCGCGUUGGAUUAGCUAGUUGGUAGGGUAAAAGCCUACCAAGGGGACGAUCCAUAGCUGGUGUGAGAGGAUGCUCAGCCACACUGGGACUGAGACACGGCCCAGACUCCUACGGGAGGCAGCAGUGGGGAAUAUUGGGCGAUGGGCGAAAGCCUGAUCCAGCAAUGCCGCGUGAGUGAUGAAGGCCUUAGGGUUGUAAAGCUCUUUUACCCGGGAUGAUAAUGACAGUACCGGGUGAAUAAGCACCGGCUAACUCCGUG